GCACCAUUCUCUUGAUUCAAGAGUCUUUCUCUCCUUAUCCCCCGAGCAUUUCGGUCCCUCGUGAUUCGACUUCUCUUUCUGUAGUUUUAGUAUAGUAAGGUGAGCGCUGAAGCGCUGCACGAAUCUUUCUUAGAAAGAUUCAGCGACGAAGUUCUGCCCCUGCAGAGCCCGACUCCUAGCUAAAAUCCCCUUGAAAGUUUCGUCAAAGGAAAUUAUUUUAAAGUAAACGAAGCGCUGUCCGAGUACCGAGUCACCACCUUCUCAGGUGUUGAUAUGAAGUCACAAUACACUGAGAGAUUUAAAGAGAUGUAGAUCACUAGUGUAAAUAAUUGUAAGUUCUGUUUAUGCUUAUGUUUCUGUAUUAACGAUGACAUCCCAAA